UGACAAGGGUAGGUCCUGUUCCCUCCUGCCAUCAGCCGACCCCCUGCUGGAUCUCAGCAUCCAACCAGAUAAGCCUUGCAGAUGUGCACAGGGUAGCCCUGGGAACAUAUGGCCACCACCAGACCUCCACCCUAGCUCAGGCUUGGCCCAGGACCAACUCUGCCCACAGGAAGACACACUCCAGAGCUCAGUCCAAGCCCAGGUCCACCUGGACCACCUGCACCAAAGCCCGGGAAAGGAUAGGCAUGUUCCAUUCCUCCACUGUCUGACCCCUGCUGGAGUUCAGGCUCGGCCCAGGACCGCCUCCACCCACAGGCAGACCCUUUCCAGAGCUCAUAAAUGGCCCAGAUUUUCCUCGCUGACCUGUGCAAAAGCCUGGGCAAGGGGAGGCCUGAUUCUAUCCCGCCACCUGCAAAACCUCACCAGAGCUCCAGCUCUGCCCAGAUCCAACCUGACGACCUGGCAGGAGGAAACCUGAGCCCAGGGUAGCCCAUAUCCAUCCAGUCACCUUCAAACUGGCACCUGAGCUCAGGCUCUGCCAAGGAAAGACAGCCACCAAAGUUCAGCCCCAGUCCAGAUUGGCCUCGCUCAGAGGCACGGGAGCCUGGUCCAAGGUAGGCCUAGACCAACUGCCACAACAGCAGCGCUCAGGCCAGACACAGGACCGCCUCCGCCCACAGGCCGAGCUCAAACAUGGCCAAGAUUGGCCUAGCUGACCUUCACGGGAGCCUGGGCAAGGGGAGGCCUGGUUCCAUCCCACCAACUGCAGAACCCCACCAGAGUUCCAGCUCUGCCCAGAUCCAACUCGGUGACCUGGCAGGAGACGAAGCCCGAGGAGCCCAGGGUAGCCCAAGUCAAUCCAGUCACCAUGAGACUGGCACCAAAGCUCGGGCUCCGCCUAUGAGUGACUCCGCCCACUGACAGUCACUGAAGUUCAGCCUCAGCCCAGAUGAGCAGUACUGACAGGUGUGGGAGCCUGGCCCAAGGUAGGCCUAGGACCAACUGCCACAAGCAGGCCCCUAACGGAGCUCAGGCCACACACAGUACAACCUCGCCUAACAAGCAGACACCUUCUGGAGCUCAGGGUCUUCUCAGAUCAGCCUAGUCCACCUGUGUGGGAGCCAGGGGAUGGGUAGGCACAGUUCCAUCAUGCCAGUGUCAGACCCGAUACCACCUCUAUCUAUGGUCAGAUUCCCACUGGAGCUCAGGCCCGGGCCAGGACUGACUCUGCUCACUUGCUGACAUCUGCUGGAGCUCAGGCUCAGCCCAGAUUAUCCUAGUACACCUGUGGGAGUCUAGUUCCAGGGUAGUAGGCCUGAGUUCAUCCCACUACUGAUAGAUAGCAGGCAGAGCUUAGGCUUGGCUCAGGAUUGCCUUGCCGGCUUGCAUGGGAACCCUGGCAAGGGUAGGACUGGUUCCAUCCCACCACCUGCGUACCUCCACUGGAGCUCAAGUUCUACUCAGGAGUUGGGCCCUAGGAAAGGCCCUGGUUCUAUGUGCCACCACCUGAUGUCUGUGGUUCUUAGGCUCUGCUCAGCGAGGUGGAUGGG
rnacentral:lncRNA from 1 species